rnacentral:lncRNA from 1 species
GCCCGAGGGAGCCUGUGCUGGUGGAUAUUCAGCAGGCAGCUGCUGCAAAAGCCAUUGGCGUAUUAGCCAAGGAGUCAGCAGACGUGGCUGAAGAGCUGAUCCAACUGAAAGUGGUACAUGGCCUGAUGGUUGCUGUGGGGAACCUGGACCAUGCAGCCAGCCAGAGACACGCCAGCAUCUCCCUGGAGGACAGUCCAGAGACCUGGUACACAAAAAUGGAUCCAGUCCAGGCUGAAGAACUGGCCUCCAACGUAGUAGACAACCCCAGAGACAUGUCAAGGAUGCAGUCCACAGAAGGUGUGUGCAGAGUUGGGGCACAGACACUUAAAUUACACCCUUUACUUUCAAGGGGAAAAGGCAGCUCAGGAAGCAGGAGAGCAGGGUGGGGGGUCUAGGGAAAGGAGGAAUAAUGGUAGAAGGGUCCCUUUGUAAUCCAAUGUUUAUAUAGCUGCAUCCUGUGUUGCUGCACCCAGAGCUCACAGGACUGUUUUGUCCUUUCAGAGACAAACCCUGGAGCAAGCUGAACAAACAGGAAACUGAGGACAGCAACACAUGCCUCCCAUCUGUCCUCCCCCACCCUGCCCCUCUGCCUGUUCCUUCCCAGAGGACAGCUUGUGUGGGGCCACCUGGACCCAGGUUGCACAUAAGGGCCACAGCAGCACCUUGCUGCACCUGAGCCAGUGGCCAGCUUUGCACUUCUGCCCUCAAAUACAGAUUUCAGUGGGCUGUUGACAUGUAUAUUAUGUGGCAUGUUAACCAUGGGAAAUACAUGUGAGAGUAAGUGAAGUAACAUCCUUCAAAGCCUCAGUAAACACCAAUGGUACAAAGGAGCCUCAUAGGGUCUUUCCUGCUUACCUGAUAUCUUAAGAGCUGAGGCACUUGCUACAUGAUGAGUUUAGUUCAGGUGCAGGAUAGGUAUCCUCUAAACCAGCUUCCCCCUUGCUAGGCAAGUUCUACUGAGCAGGAUCUCAAAAUUUAUUUUGAGUGAUUUUUAUGUAAACAUAAGUGCAAAGACUUUAAGAAAGAACCUCAUCCAAGAAAUGAGCCUCUCUCUACAAUACCAGCCAGUCUUCAAGGACUGUUAGACUUUACCAAAAAUCACCAAGAAAUGUAUUUUAUGUGAUAGAAGAUAAUUAAUUCCAGGAACAUUUAUUUAUCAAAAUUCUUAAAAUUAUGAUUGUUUUUACAAUUACAUAUAAUUGAUUUUCUUUCUAGAAAAGCCAGACUUGCAAUGAUUUUGCAAGUUUCAAGCACAUCUGGAAAAGUUAUAUGCACACUAGAAAACUAUACAUGUGUAUCUAGUUCUAUUAGAAGAGACCAUUGUCACUAGCAAAGGGCCAGAUGCCACACACAUCUAGCACGCUCUCAGGCCUCCCUCCCCAAGCCUUGCAGCGG